GACGAACGCUGGCGGCGUGCUUAACACAUGCAAGUCGAACGGAAAGGCCCUGCUUUUGUGGGGUGCUCGAGUGGCGAACGGGUGAGUAACACGUGAGUAACCUGCCCUUGACUUUGGGAUAACUUCAGGAAACUGGGGCUAAUACCGGAUAGGAGCUCCUGCUGCAUGGUGGGGGUUGGAAAGUUUCGGCGGUUGGGGAUGGACUCGCGGCUUAUCAGCUUGUUGGUGGGGUAGUGGCUUACCAAGGCUUUGACGGGUAGCCGGCCUGAGAGGGUGACCGGCCACAUUGGGACUGAGAUACGGCCCAGACUCCUACGGGAGGCAGCAGUGGGGAAUAUUGCACAAUGGGCGGAAGCCUGAUGCAGCAACGCCGCGUGCGGGAUGACGGCCUUCGGGUUGUAAACCGCUUUCGCCUGUGACGAAGCGUGAGUGACGGUAAUGGGUAAAGAAGCACCGGCUAACUACGUGCCAGCAGCCGCGGUGAUACGUAGGGUGCGAGCGUUGUCCGGAUUUAUUGGGCGUAAAGGGCUCGUAGGUGGUUGAUCGCGUCGGAAGUGUAAUCUUGGGGCUUAACCCUGAGCGUGCUUUCGAUACGGGUUGACUUGAGGAAGGUAGGGGAGAAUGGAAUUCCUGGUGGAGCGGUGGAAUGCGCAGAUAUCAGGAGGAACACCAGUGGCGAAGGCGGUUCUCUGGGCCUUUCCUGACGCUGAGGAGCGAAAGCGUGGGGAGCGAACAGGCUUAGAUACCCUGGUAGUCCACGCUGUAAACGGUGGGUACUAGGUGUGGGGUCCAUUCCACGGGUUCCGUGCCGUAGCUAACGCUUUAAGUACCCCGCCUGGGGAGUACGGCCGCAAGGCUAAAACUCAAAGGAAUUGACGGGGCCCCGCACAAGCGGCGGAGCAUGCGGAUUAAUUCGAUGCAACGCGUAGAACCUUACCUGGGUUUGACAUGGAUCGGGAGCGCUCAGAGAUGGGUGUGCCUCUUUUGGGGUCGGUUCACAGGUGGUGCAUGGCUGUCGUCAGCUCGUGUCGUGAGAUGUUGGGUUAAGUCCCGCAACGAGCGCAACCCUUGUUCACUGUUGCCAGCACGUUAUGGUGGGGACUCAGUGGAGACCGCCGUGGUCAACUCGGAGGAAGGUGGGGAUGACGUCAAGUCAUCAUGCCCCUUAUGUCCAGGGCUUCACGCAUGCUACAAUGGCUGGUACAGAGAGUGGCGAGCCUGUGAGGGUGAGCGAAUCUCGGAAAGCCGGUCUCAGUUCGGAUUGGGGUCUGCAACUCGACCUCAUGAAGUCGGAGUCGCUAGUAAUCGCAGAUCAGCAACGCUGCGGUGAAUACGUUCCCGGGGCU
rnacentral:rRNA from 1 species